GCACUUGACUUACAAUAUUGAAGAAUGAAGAAACUCUUUGAAAAAAGUUAUACUUUAGAUGUCUUAUGACAUCAUAUCGUACACGCCUAUAUUCUUCACACAAUACUAAGGGAAUAUUUCUGGAACCUCGAAAUUAAUGCCAUUUUACCCGAUUUUUCGUUACGACCGGCGUCCUACUCGCUAUACAGACAAUACCGACUGUUCUUCAAUCUUUUCGACGACGUCAAUAUCCUCACAACUCACAAGUUACAACAAAUAAACAACGAAAUCAGUUGGGACUUGGGUGGUUUCCGAAACUAAAUAACGAUAUAUACUCCAUCGGCUGUGUGAAGCUCUAUAAUUGGAUCCUGGAUCAUGAAUAUCUCGUCAUCGAAUAUUACAUAUUAUCCAUUACACGGAUUUUGUGUAAAACGUGUAAUAACAAUUUACUCGAUUUCGUGGCAUAUCAUAGGUACUUAUUGUAUUCGAAUAUCAUAAUAAUAUCAUAUUAAAAUAAAAUCAAAAUG